rnacentral:rRNA from 1 species
GAUGAACGCUGGCGGCGUGCCUAAUACAUGCAAGUCGAACGAAACUUCUUUAUCACCGAGUGCUUGCACUCACCGAUAAAGAGUUGAGUGGCGAACGGGUGAGUAACACGUGGGCAACCUGCCCAAAAGAGGGGGAUAACACUUGGAAACAGGUGCUAAUACCGCAUAACCAUAGUUACCGCAUGGUAACUAUGUAAAAGGUGGCUAUACUACCGCUUUUGGAUGGGCCCGCGGCGCAUUAGCCAGUUGGUAGGGUAAAGGCUUACCAAGGCAAUGAUGCGUAGCCGAAUUGAGAGGUUGAUCGGCCACAUUGGGACUGAGACACGGCCCAAACUCCUACGGGAGGCAGCAGUAGGGAAUCUUCCACAAUGGGCGAAAGCCUGAUGGAGCAACGCCGCGUGGGUGAAGAAGGUCUUCGGAUCGUAAAACCCUGUUGUUAGAGAAGAAAGUGCGUGAGAGUAACUGUUCACGUUUCGACGGUAUCUAACCAGAAAGCCACGGCUAACUACGUG